rnacentral:rRNA from 1 species
UACGUAGGGUGCGAGCGUUAAUCGGAAUUACUGGGCGUAAAGCGUGCGCAGGCGGUUUCGCAAGUCAGAUGUGAAAGCCCCGGGCUCAACCUGGGAAUUGCAUUCGAUACUGAUCAGCUAGAGUAUGAGAGAGGGAGGUAGAAUUCCACGUGUAGCGGUGAAAUGCGUAGAUAUGUGGAGGAAUACCGGUGGCGAAGGCGGCCUCCUGGUUCAAUACUGACGCUGAGGUGCGAAAGCGUGGGGAGCAAACAGG